GGUUUUGGAUCAGGGAAACAAAUAUGCCUUCAAAGAUGUCAAAGGCAAUGCUGAAGCUACCCAGGGACCCAUGAUACUCAGACAAACGCAACAUAAUGAAAAUCACGCAAACAUGUUUGGUCGGGUGAAAAUCACCCGGCGAUAGUGUUCUAGGGUUGAGGUAACAGGGUCGACUAUAGGACAGACUAGGUUUAUGUCGUAAAUACAUUCAUUAGACAGGCUAUAUGUCUAUUCUGUUAAAAUAACUACUCAUUAUUGUCAGUUUUGCAAAGGGCCCAUAUUCUUUCAACCACCAAGUCGAUUCUUUUUGGUAAGAUAACAGUAGCAUCUAUAUUUAUAAUUUAAACAAGGACAAAAAUUACAUCUAAAUCAACAGUUUUCUGGAAAUCAGCUACACAGACACAGUGAUGGCCCUCAUCCACUCUGUGGCCCCAUCUCCAGGUAUUUAAGUCAAAUUCCACUCAACAUCUUAUUUCAUUUUCUUUGUUUGAUAGGAAGGGAAAGUGAGGAAGGAAAUGAUGUAGAAUCAACAGGGAUGACUGCAGCCUUGAAAAGUCCAUUCAAGAACUUGGGAAAGCUUCAUAAGAAGGGGACUGAGUCUGGUGUCCGUAAGUCAACACACACAGACAUCUUCAGGGAGGUACUAAAACUGUCAUAUCAAGCCACUCCUGGACCAGAGGCACUGCCACAAGUGUCUCGGUCCAGGAGAAAAAGAAUUGGACUGAUGCUCAGUGUUUUUGCAUUUCACUAAAAAAUCUAGGUCCAUAGUCCAAGGUGUUUGAAAACCGGUGUGAAGAUUCACAGUCUGUGAUGAUUUGGGGUGCCAAGUCAUCUGCUAGUGGGGGUCCAAAGUGAUUUAUUAAGUCCAAAGCCAAUACAGCCAUCCAGGAGGUGAGUUUACUGUACUUCAUGCUGAAAAGCUUCAUGGAGAUGUUGAAUAAUUUCACUUUUUGGUGCUGUUGUAACAGAUGUGCUGUUAGGAGGUAUUUGGAUUGAGAGUUAAAUGAUGGGGGAAAAAGUAACUCAGUUUGGCAGCCAAACAUAAUUUACAGGCCACUCAUCCAUUUGUUGAAGCAAGAUCAAACUCAAUCAGCUCACAAAUGCCAAACAAAAGAUAAAAAAUAGCCUGUUUUACUCAAGUGAGACAGUAUUUAAAGCUUGUGUUGUGUUGUUAGUGUCCCUAACUCUAACCUUCACUGUCAUUAAUCUUUGCAUGACUUCCCCAAGUCAUCAAAGAAGGAGAAUGAGUCAAAAGGAGCAGGAGAUACUGGUGGUUCAGAGAAACCUGAUGCUGAAGGAAGCAGCGACGAGGAUGAAGGAGCCCUGGUCAUCGACGAGAAGAACGAGAGGGGGGCUGCUAAGCGAAAAGCAGAGGGGUCCAUGGAGAGAACAAUCCCACUGUCACGCAUGUAGCCUAUGAGGUGAGUUUUGUGCCUAAGUGAUAAAAGCAUGAAUUAGAUCUCAGGUUUUCA